rnacentral:rRNA from 1 species
CAUGGUUGUCGUUAGCUCGUGUCGUGAGAUGUUGGGUUAAGUCCCGCAACGAGCGCAACCCCUAUUGUUAGUUGCCAUCAUUCAGUUGGGCACUCUAGCGAGACUGCCGGUAAUAAACCGGAGGAAGGUGGGGAUGACGUCAAAUCAUCAUGCCCCUUAUGACCUGGGCUACACACGUGCUACAAUGGUUGGUACAACGAGUUGCGAGUCGGUGACGGCGAGCUAAUCUCUUAAAGCCAAUCUCAGUUCGGAUUGUAGGCUGCAACUCGCCUACAUGAAGUCGGAAUCGCUAGUAAUCGCGGAUCAGCACGCCGCGGUGAAUACGUUCCCGGGCCUU